rnacentral:rRNA from 1 species
UACAGAGGGGGCAAGCGUUAUUCGGAAUUAUUGGGCGUAAAGGGCGCGUAGGCGGCCAUUCAAGUGACGGGUGAAAGCCCUCGGCUUAACCGAGGAACUGCCUGUCAGACUGGAUGGCUUGAGACCGGGAGAGGUGAGUGGAAUUCCCAGUGUAGCGGUGAAAUGCGUAGAUAUUGGGAGGAACACCAAUUGCGAAGGCAGCUGGCUACACAAAUAUUGACACUGAGGCACGAAAGCGUGGGGAUCAAACAGG